rnacentral:rRNA from 1 species
UUGGAGGGCAAGUCUGGUGCCAGCAGCCGCGGUAAUUCCGGCUCCAAUAGCGUAUAUUAAAGUUGUUGCAGUUAAAAAGCUCGUAGUUGAAUUUCGGGAUCAAUAUUUCGGUCAUGCCGUUGGUAUGCACUGUUAUCAUUGAUUUCUCACCUUCUAAAGAACCGUAAUGCCAUUAAUUUGGUGUUACGGGGAAUUAGGACUGUUACCUUGAAAAAAUUAGAGUGUUUAAAGCAGGCUCACGCUUGAAUACAUUAGCAUGGAAUAAUGAAAUAGGACAUCCGAUUCUAUUUUGUUGGUUUCUAGGAUCGAUGUAAUGAUUAAUAGGGAUAGUUGGGGGCAUUAGUAUUCAAUUGUCAGAGGUGAAAUUCUUGGAUUUAUUGAAGACUAACUACUGCGAAAGCAUUUGCCAAGGAUGUUUUCAUUAAUCAAGAACGAAAGCUAGGGGAUCGAAGACGAUCAGAUACCGUCGUAGUCUUAACCAUAAACUAUGCCGACUAGGGAUCGGAUGAUGUUAAUUUUUUAAUGACCCAUUCGGCGCCUUACGGGAAAC